UGUGAUUCUGUCCUGCGCAACUGUUCCCUGGAACAGUAGUCUUUUAUCUCCGUCCACCUUCUCUCCCACCUAAGUGCAUGCCACCAACCCAUGGAAGAUUCGAUGGACAUGGACAUGAGCCCUCUGAGGCCCCAGAACUAUCUUUUUCGUUGUGAACUAAAGGCCAACAAAGAUGAUCACUUUAAGGUGGAUAAUGAUGGAAAUGAGCACCAGUUAUCUUCAAGAACGGUCAGUUUAGGGGCUGGCACAAAGGAUGAAUUGCACAUCAUCAAAGCAGAGGUGAUGAAUUAUGAAGGCAGUCCAAUCAAAGCAACACUGGCAACUUUGAAAAUGUCUGUGCAGCCAACAGUUUCCCUUGGGGGCUUUGAAAUAACACCACCUGUGGUCUUACAGUUGAAGUGUGGCUCAGGGCCUGUGCAUAUUAGUGGACAGCACUUAGUAGCUGUGGAGGAAGAUGCAGAGUCAGAAGAUGAAGAGGAGGAGGACGUGGCACUCCUAAGUAAGUCUGGAAAGUGUCUGCCCCUGGAAGUGGUAGCAAGUUUCCACAGAAAAAAGUAAAACUUGUUGCUGAUGAAGAUGAAGAUGAUCAUGAAGAUGACGAUGAUGAUGAUGAAGAUGAUGAUGACUUUGAUGAUGAGGAAGCUGAAGAAAAAGCUCCAGUAAAGUAAUCUGUACAAGAUAUUCCAGCCAAAAAUGCACAAAAAUCAAACCAGAAUGGAAAAGACUCAAGACCAUCAACACCAAGAUCAAAAAGUCAAGAAUCCUUCAAAAAACAGGAAAAAACUUCUAAAACACCGAAAGGACCUAGCUCUGUAGAAAACAUUGAAGCAAAAAUGUAAGCAAGUAUAGAAAAAGAGCAUUGAACAAUCCUGGGCACUACUGGUAAAUUAAGCCCAAAGAUGGGGAGAGGGGAAAAGGAGAGACAAAUAUAGUCCAAACUGAGUAUCAUCAACAAUCCAGACUGAAGUCUUCUAUUUUCAUCUCAAUCCCCUUAUUGAUUU